rnacentral:tRNA from 1 species
AUUAAGGUGGCAGAGCAGGUAAUUGCAUAAAACUUAAGCCUUUAUUCUCAGAGGUUCAACUCCUCUCCUUAAUA